rnacentral:rRNA from 1 species
UACGGAGGAUGCGAGCGUUAUCCGGAUUUAUUGGGUUUAAAGGGUGCGCAGGCGGCACGGCAAGCCGGCGGUCAAAUCGCGGGGCUCAACCCCGCCCAGCCGUCGGAACUGGGGGCCUUGAGUGCGGCGGAGGCAUGCGGAAUGCGCGGUGUAGCGGUGAAAUGCAUAGAUAUCACGCAGAACUCCGAUUGCGAAGGCAGCGCACCGGCGCCCUACUGACGCUCAGGCACGAAAGCGUGGGUAUCGAACAG